rnacentral:rRNA from 1 species
AAUGAACGUUGGCGGCGUGGAUUAGGCAUGCAAGUCGUGCGAGAAGUCUUUUGCUUGCAUUAGACGGAAAGCGGCGAAAGGGAGAGUAACGCGUGGAUACCUACCUCCAGGUUCGGGAUAGCUGCGGGAAACUGCGGUUAAUACCGAAUGACAUCUCCGGAUUAAAGGUGUGAUUCCGCCUGGAGACGGGUCCGCGUCCUACUAGCUUGUUGGUGGGGUAACGGCUCACCAAGGCGACGAUGUGUAUCAGGCGUGAGAGCGUGACCUGACUCACUGGGACUGAGACACUGCCCAGACACCUACGGGUGGCUGCAGUCGAGAAUCUUCGGCAAUGGGCGCAAGCCUGACCGAGCGACGCCGCGUGCGGGAUGAAGGCCCUCGGGUUGUAAACCGCUGUCAGUUGGGAGGAAAUCACAUGGGGUUCUCUCCAUGUGUUGACCUAUCUUCAGAGGAAGGACGGGCUAAGUUCGUGCCAGCCGCCGCUGUAAUAC